GCACGUAGUUAGCCGGGGCUUUCUCUGGAGGGUACAGUCAAAUUCAGAUCCUUACGAAGCUGAAUAUUUCGUCCCCUCUAACAGGAGUUUACAACCUUACGGCAUUCAUCCUCCACGCGGCGUUGCUGGGUCACCCUUGCGGGCAUUGCCCAAUAUUCCUCA
rnacentral:rRNA from 1 species